rnacentral:rRNA from 1 species
AGUGAACGCUGGCGUUAGGCCUAACACAUGCAAGUCGAACGGCAGCACAGUAAGAGCUUGCUCUUACGGGUGGCGAGUGGCGUACGGGUGAGGAAUACAUCGGAAUCUACUUUUUCGUGGGGGAUAACGUAGGGAAACUUACGCUAAUACCGCAUACGACCUACGGGUGAAAGCAGGGGAUCUUCGGACCUUGCGCGAUUGAAUUAGCCGAUGUCGGAUUAGCUAGUUGGGCGGGUAAAGGCCCACCAAGGCGACGAUCCGUAGCUGGUCUGAGAGGAUGGUAGGCCACAUUGGAACUGAGACAGGGUCAAGACGCCUAAGGGAGGCAGCAGUGGGGAAUAUUGGACAAUAGGCGCAAGCAUGAUCCAGCCAUACCGCGUGUGUGAAGAAGGCCUUCGGGUUGUAAAGACGUUUUGUUGGGAAAGAACAGCAGCAGGUUAAGACCCCGCUGGUCUGACGGUAACCAAAGAAUAAGCACCGGCUAACUUCGUG